GAUGAACGCUGGCGGCGUGCCUAACACAUGCAAGUCGAGCGGCAGCGCGAGGAGUUUACGACUUGGCGGCGAGCGGCGGACGGCUGAGUCACGCGUGUGAACAUGCCCCAACGUGAGGAAUAACUGCGCGAACGGGUAGCUAAUGCCGCAUAUGAUCUUCGGAUUAUAGGAUUUAUCCGCUUUGGGAGUGGCCUGCGUACGAUUAGAGAGUUGGUGAGGUAGAGGCUCAGCAAGUCGACGAUCGUGAACUGGUUUGAGAGGAGGAUCCGUCAGACUGGAACUGAGACACGGUCCAGACUCCUACGGGAGGCAGCAGUGAGGAAUCUUACACAAUGGGCGAAAGUCUGAUGGCGCAACGCCGCGGGCAGGAUGAAGGCCUUCGGGUUGUAAACUGCUUUUAUGCGUGAAGAGUAUGACGGUAACGCAUGAAUAAGCGCCGGCUAACUACGUG
rnacentral:rRNA from 1 species